ensembl:snoRNA SNORA73 Small nucleolar RNA SNORA73 family
ACAACAUGCAUACCCCAGAAGUCACUCUCCCCAGGCUCUGUCCAGGUGGUGUAGGGGAGCAUAGGGUUCUACCCCAUGAUGUAAGUUCCUUUCCAAAGUGUUGGAGAAGUGGGACUUUGUGUCUGUGCCUGUAUAUUUCUACAACUUUUCAGUCCUUUGUGCAAUAACUGAGGCAAUAACUACACAGGAAACAAUG